rnacentral:rRNA from 1 species
UAAUACAUGCAAGUCGAACGCGUCUCCGUUAAUGAUUUUAGGUGCUUGCACUUGAAAGAUUUAACAUUGAGACGAGUGGCGAACUGGUGAGUAACACGUGGGUAACCUGCCCUUGAAGUAGGGGAUAACACUUGGAAACAGGUGCUAAUACCGUAUAACAACCAAAACCACCUGGUUUUGGUUUAAAAGACGGCUUCGGCUGUCACUUUAGGAUGGACCCGCGGCGUAUUAGCUUGUUGGUAAGGUAACGGCUUACCAAGGCGAUGAUACGUAGCCGACCUGAGAGGGUAAUCGGCCACAUUGGGACUGAGACACGGCCCAAACUCCUACGGGAGGCAGCAGUAGGGAAUCUUCCACAAUGGACGAAAGUCUGAUGGAGCAACGCCGCGUGAGUGAUGAAGGGUUUCGGCUCGUAAAACUCUGUUGUUGGAGAAGAACAGGUGUCAGAGUAACUGUUGACAUCUUGACGGUAUCCAACCAGAAAGCCACGGCUAACUACGUGCCAGCAGCCGCGGUAAUACGUAGGUGGCAAGCGUUGUCCGGAUUUAUUGGGCGUAAAGCGAGCGCAGGCGGUUUUUUAGGUCUGAUGUGAAAGCCUUCGGCUUAACCGGAGAAGUGCAUCGGAAACCGGGAGACUUGAGUGCAGAAGAGGACAGUGGAACUCCAUGUGUAGCGGUGAAAUGCGUAGAUAUAUGGAAGAACACCAGUGGCGAAGGCGGCUGUCUGGUCUGUAACUGACGCUGAGGCUCGAAAGCA